rnacentral:tRNA from 1 species
UGCGUUGAUGUUGCUCAUGCAUUGGCAGCGUUGCUCGGCUCGACGCGCGUGCGCAGCAGCGCGCCGUCGGGUUGUGCAGACCGACCUCAGCGCGU